UAUCUCUGUAGAGUCGCAUAUCAAUAAGCGGAGGAAAAGAAACUAACAAGGAUUCCCUUAGUAACGGCGAGUGAAGCGGGAAGAGCUCAAAUUUGAAAUCUUCAAGGUUCUACCUUGACGAAUUGUAGUUUAAAGAAGUGUUUUCUGUUAGAUGAGUAGCAAAAGUUCCUUGGAAUGGGACAUCAUAGAGGGUGAGAAUCCCGUAUUUGGUUAUUCAUUCUAGCUUUGUGAUACACUUUCAAAGAGGUCAGGAUUGUUUGGGAAUGCAGUCCAAAAUGGGUGGUAAAUUUCAUCUAAAGCUAAAUAUUGGCGAGAGACCGAUAGCGAACAAGUACCGUGAGGGAAAGAUGAAAAGAACUUUGAAAAGAGAGUUAAACAGUACGUGAAAUUGUCAAAAGGGAAGCGUUUGACACCAGUGUUGUUUUUCCGAAAAUCAAUUACGAAUGGCUUGAUUUUGUGUUGUAUUGACCUUAUCAGCUUUCUUCACUUUUUUCGAGUCUUUCUUAAUGCACCUUUCGGUUAACAAGUCAACAUCAAUUUCUUUUGUUGUAAAAGAGUAUUCGGAAGGUGGCUUUCUUUUCGGAGAAAGUGUUUAUAGCCCUAGUACUUCUACAAUCGGAGAGAUUGAGGUCUGCAGCGUAGAUCCUUCGGGGUUAGAUACAUUUGUGCUAAGUUGUAGCUUUUCAUAGACAACUUGUUGACUAUGUUUAGUCAUGCGGCUUACUCGCUUAUGCUAUUUUACCUACGCUUAGGAUGUUGACUGAUAUGUAGUCGUA
rnacentral:rRNA from 1 species